rnacentral:lncRNA from 1 species
GCGUCUCUCGACGAGGUUGUCAAAACAGCCGCACAAUGUGCACUUUCAUGUGCACAACUGGACCCUGUCGCCCCGACCGACAAUCGCUUGUGUUCGCUGCACAAAGUGGCCUCUGUGUCGGCCGGGGCUCCUCCUUUGGCCCGGCGGCCGCUGUGGAGGUGAUCGGGGGCCGCGUUCAGCAUAGCGUGUCUGUUUGUGUGAUUAAUCACCGUGUAAAACUCCAGCGUAUCCGUUUCGGUGGGAGCGAGGAGCCACGGGCGCCUCUCCGUUUAUGCGUCAUUGUGUCUAACGGUGCCCGGUAGCCGAGAGAGAGCAGAGGGCAAAAGUUUGAGCAUAUGGUUGAGAUUAAGGCGCUAAAGAAACUGACUGAUUCACAUGAUUGGGAUUUGUUUUAUUUUGAGUUCGCCUGAUUACUGAAUAAACGUCUUAAAAGUGAUUGAUCUUUUUUUAGGGGGGAAUAUAGGCCUAUUCACUGAAGCCUUUUGUUCGCUUUAGCAUGGUCCCCCAAGCGUUACUCCACAUCCAGUGAUAGUUGCAUCCUUCAUGUGUUUAUAUAUUUGGUCCGUUUGGUUUGCGCAUGCUGCCGACGUGAAUGUAGAUUCUGAAAGGGAUGUCAUCUCUUAUGAAAGAAACUUACGUCAUUUUGGAACACACUGGUGCUGGAUAAAUAGUAAGUACAUUUUCAUUUUUUAGGAGUGCUAUGGCUUUAGUGUUUUGUGUCUUCAAAGAGGCAGUUGUCAUCAACCGACUAUACAGUUUUAGACUAAUUGAAAAGUAUUUCAACUCAGACUUUCUGACUUGUAGAUUGUUUAUAGCUUCAGCCUUUUAUUUCUGGCAGUUCUGAUGAAAGUACAUUUAUAAAGAUUAUUUUCAUGAUGAAAUUGUGUAUAGGCCAUCAAAAAAGCUGAGAAAACCUAC